rnacentral:lncRNA from 1 species
AAAAGUGCAACAAUUCUAUAUUAAUCAUAUUAAAGAAAUUUAAAGCUAAACAACGAUUGUAUUAGAAUGUCACCAACUUCCAUGAAACCAUGUAGCUAUAAAUCUCACAAAGGGAGAAUAACAAUACCUGAAGGAAAUAUUUAAGUAAACUUCAACAGGUGACAGGUUAUUUACAAGAACUUUUAGUGAAGUAAAGCCAAUUCUUUUCUUAAUAGGGGCUGCUGCAACUACACAAAAAAUUAACAUGUAUGAAGUUAAAACUACAUUUUUCUACGUCUUUCGUCACAUACUACAGUAACUCAAAUCAUUCAUAUAUUAUAACCAAUAAAAAUGGAUCACAACAGUUCAAUAAUCUAAAAUAAUGGGUGGAACUCUAGCCCGUGAAGUUAAACAUUUAUUCACUCGUCUUGUCAACAGAAAUCACACAAUGUAAUGACACAGCUAUACCUAAAUGCAGAAACUGAAAGCAGUAAGGAAACUUGCUUGAAAAGGAAAAAUGGACAGCAAUCACAGCAAGAACGAACAACAAUUCAACAGCCCAAAACCUCGACAAUGACCCAGGAAUAAACUAGCCACAUUUGAAUAGACAAUAACCUUACAAGAAAACCAAAUAACCUUGAAAGACUCUCAGCUUUUUGGAGGAUUUUUGCUCUCCAGAAACUCCUUCAAGUUCUCAAGUUUUCGUGCUAUGACAGAGUAUGUAAAAGAUGUUCUGAAUAUAUGUUAAUCGUGUUCACGAAUCCCCCAUUUAAAGUAAAAGAAAGACCCUCUCUUUAUAGGAGAGGAGGGAUAGGAUUUCAUUAUGAAAAUCUGUUCUUUGGGCAUAAUCUUUAUCAAAAAUCUAUCCAAUCUAUUCAAAGGAUAGAUAUUUGGUUAAAAAUCUGUCCAAGACACAGCUUUUUACCAAACAAUAAUAAACAUUUUGGAAUUUAGUACUCAAAAAGUCUUUGAACAGAAAAAAGUGACCAAAUAAGUACCCAGUACUCAAGUAUUUCAGCUUUUUUUUCAACAUAUGACUGAAAUUCAGCUUAUAUAUUCAAAUUUAAACCAACUACGAACUAGAAAAACAGAAAGUACAGAUAACUUAGAAGUUGUUGCUUGUAUCUAGUUGUUGAUAUUGGAGAGUGUUUGGAUCAAUCUAUAGGCAGUCAAUUAGUAAGCUGUGGAGGAUGGAAUAUUUGGAGCACUGGAU